rnacentral:rRNA from 1 species
UACGAAGGGGGCGAGCGUUGUUCGGAAUUACUGGGCGUAAAGGGCGCGCAGGCGGCCCUCCAAGUCAGGCGUGAAAGCCCCGGGCUCAACCCGGGAAUAGCGCUUGAGACUGGGGGGCUUGAGUUCGGGAGAGGAGAGUGGAAUUCCCAGUGUAGAGGUGAAAUUCGUAGAUAUUGGGAAGAACACCGGUGGCGAAGGCGGCUCUCUGGACCGACACUGACGCUGAGGCGCGAAAGCGUGGGGAGCAAACAGG